UCUGCAAACACGUCGGCCACACACACACACACACAAUUUCUUUCAGAAUGGAUUCUCACCCGUAAACGUGUCCAAACACUGAGAUGUCACGAUUCUCAGAGCUAAUAGCCGUGCCAAGCUCUUUUCCCGUCAAAACCUGACUUGUGAAUCCUGAUUGGAAUUAAUCACUCAUGUGAUUGAGGAACCGAGCAACUCUUAAGGCCUUUUCUUUGGCCGCUUUGACUCCUUUGGGAUUUAUUCAGUGAGCAAGGCUGCAGAGUAGCACUUCCUGUUCUCUCUCAAAACCAUGAGUUCGAAAAGAGCCCGCCCGGUUAAUUGCGUCUCGCGAUGCUGCACAAUCAGUCGGAUGUAUGAAUGACUUGUGCUGUCUUGUGCUUGCUCGCCAGGGGACGUUCGGUCAUUUCUCAGGAAUGGCGCACGGUAAACACGCAUCCGUUUUGUCUGUCCUUAACCCCUCACCAGCAUUGUCUUUUCUCAGCUUGUCAACGCAUAUUCUUGUCAACGCCUUUCUUUCUUACCCGCGAGUUCACGAGAGAAGAGAGCGGUCCCCUGGCUCAUGGUCUCGCUCUGGAACUGCGGAAAUAAGAGCAGAAUAAUCACGCCGGCAUGUCUUGACUUCAUUUUCUUGUGGCCCAAAGGGCAGGACGGAAUUCUUCUACUCCUCCACCUACGCGAUUUGCAAAAAUGAGUCAGAGUGGCCGACGCUGAACGACUCUAUUGUGCCUGCGAGUGGAGUAAACGGAGAGCGGGUGACAGAAACGCCGCGUUCCGUCGCACCAUCUUGCCUGAGCAGUUUCCGGUGGAUGUCGAAAUUGGAGCUGGAAUUCAAGCUGACGCAGUGAGCGCUCACUCACCGAGCCCAAAUGUGUGCUUUUCGACGUUACAUUUUCGCCGCCCUUUUCCGGCCUCUUCUUGCAAAUGAUCACCAUUGCGACGCGCAUCCCAGUCCCGAGCCGUUUUGGCGAGUGUCAGUCCGGCGGGCCAUGGCGAAUCUUCACUCCUCGGGCCGCCGAUCCUGAUGGGAGAGACGCGCGCACAGUUGAGUAUUUUUGCCGAGCAUCUUUUCCCCAUGCCGAUGUGCUUUAACCCACUCGAGCUUUUGUCUCAUUUGGAAAAAUCAAUUUGUGCCACAUUUGUUUUGUUCUCACGCUACUAAACGGAUGAUUCAUAGCCGUGCAAACGAGGCAGGAGCGAAAGUUAUCCACACGGGGUCAAAGUUGUGUAAUUGAAUCCUCAGAGUGUUUGCGGGGGGUGGCCAGGAAUAGCCGACCUUGCGGUUAUCCACACAACCUUCCCGGCGGUGGAGGAUGCAAGUAUCACGAGUACCACAGAGCCAAGUGGCUUCGGCGAGGCCGGAUGGAUGACAUGGAAAAUCUGUGUAGCAUUAGCUUGUAGCAUCAGUCCAAGUUCCCCCCCCCCCCCCCCAAUACUAUAUGGGGAUGUCGAUGGUUGUUUAUGUUCACACCCUGUGAUUGAUUGGCAUCUAGUUCAGGGUGUGGAUGGAUGUGAAAUAAUACAACUGUAAUGAUCAUACCGUUUAUUAUCUAUUUUAAUUAUGACUCCAUUUGUUGAAGUAUCAUACGAAUGAUCGCAAUUUGAUCUUGUCAGCAAAGAUCAGGCUUAAUAUUGUUUCAAUUGCUUCAAUGCAUGCUACCAUUUCAAUUGUCUGUGCCCAAAGAAAAAUAACGUGAAAUUAAAAAGUAUGAAAUAUGUGAUUAAAAAUAUAAUAAAUACAAGAUAAGAAUUAGUUUUCCCCAGUAGUCUUCUACAAAUUUAAAACAAGGAGAUCCGCUAAAAGUGUUGGGCCUAAGACACAUCCCGCGCGGUGCUUCCAAGGGGGCCGCAAAAUCUGAUACGCCCCAAUUAGAGCGGCUUGUCCAUACAUUGGCUAGACUGUAAUCCCCCCCAGCCAACAAACAUUACAUCAGGAUUUGGGUCUUGACUGACAAUUAGCGCUAAUGCUAAUCCAUGCUAUAACCCCUAGACAGCUGGUUUAAAAAAAAAUAAAAAAUACAAAAACAUUUUAAAUGUCGAAUCAACUGGUUGAAAUGUAAAUUGCGGCCGGCGUUGCGUCUUCCCUUGCAAGCGACUUAAAAUGUCCUUCACGUAACAUCUUCACACAUUACAGCAGUUUAUGAUCAGCAGAUAUUUGCUUUCGUGCUAGUCCGCGAGAGUUCACCGGAUCAUAAAGUCUGUUUCGCCAAAGUGAAAGGAACACCGCGUGACUUAGGUGGAAAGCACCUCACAAAGACGUUCACUAGUACGCGAGUACAGCUCGUGGCGUACUACUUGUAGCUUGCCAUGUUUGGACUCUUGUCUUGUGUGACUAAACGUGUGGAAGGGUGUGUUGUGACAAAGCACGUCAAAAAAGGAAACGCUUAAUUGACGGUUGGAACCAGUUUUUUUUUUUUCCGAUGCCUAAUCGCUGUGGUAAUUUACCCAAAGGCCAAACUUUUUCUUCCUUGUUAUUAAUUAAAGGGCAGGUGCCAGGAUGACGGGGCUCAAAGCAAACAUACCAAAGUAGGCUACGUUCACUUCUGUCCAUUUAUGAAUAAAAUGAGCUCAGCGGAGUGGGGAGGGAUCACGGGGGUGGGCCGGGGGUCUCGUCCAGCUUGCAGCUGCCCGCUUACCAUAAACACAAAGACUCAGCAUGGCUGCCAAGCAGAGGCGCGCUCCCAAGGGGGCCCGCUGUUUAAUUAUCCCCCCCCCCCACCCCCUCCACACACACAUAAUCGCGGCAACUGUACACUCUAGCGCAGGAGCCAUUAAGGGCAAACAAUUGAAAACACAAACAUCCUCCGGGCCGCGCCGCACGGGAACGUGUCAGAAGCGCGCUCGCCUCUUUCACACGGAGAUCCUGUAAAUUUGCCCCAUCAGAGCAGACCCCCACCUGUUAUCCAAUUCCUAGAAAUUGUUACCCUACAAUUCCGCAAGAAUCGCAUUUUUGGUACAGAUCCAUUUCAACAUGGCGCUACCGACAGUAUAAGCUCGACAUUGGGACUGUUGCGUGUCGGUAUCUUUCACGCGGAACAGUGCGGAAGGGGAAACGCUAGCUUUGCUUGUUACCCCGCUGAUACUGCAUCAUCACGUAGGGCAGUAACUUUUCCACUAAAACGCUACUGUACUAGCAGAGCCACACCAUGUACGCUUCUUACGUUCGUACAUCAUGUGCAGGAUCAUACGGCAAGACCACUGCAACUCUUUAGAAAGAACUCUCCGGUUUGUCCCUGCGGCGCAACCACAACCACUAGUUCCACCAACAGCCAAGACCCCCCCCCCACGAAAGUCGAAUUGAGUUUGGCAAAGAAAAUUGGCAUGACGAGCACCCACAGAAUGUUACACACAGGCUACAGAGCAAACACGAGGUUCUGCCGCCAUCCGCUCGGAAAUGGAUCUACUGUG